GGAGCCGCGCGCACGUUGCUGCCGGGACCCGCCGCGGCGAUGAGCAGCUGCAUCUGUCGAGGCCGCUUAGUCCUUUUCCGUCGGUGGAGACGCUGGGACCCGGGCCUGGGACACGUGGGCGCCCAGGGCCUCGCCGCAGCGCAGCGCCCGAGACGCACAGGUGAUCCCAGAGGAAAAGAGGCGUAA
rnacentral:lncRNA from 1 species